rnacentral:lncRNA from 1 species
UCUACUUAUGCCACCAUCUUGACGAGAUCUCCUUAAAAUUAAUUUCUAAAGAGCUCUAUAUAAUUAAUUUAAAGACACCAUCAGAAACAUUGGUCAUAUUACCAAGGCUUUGACUGGAAUAUCAUGUUUGAGAGAAACACAAACUCAGAUAUGACCAAACAGCUUUAAGGAACUAAAGUUGGCUCUAUGAAGCCAAUAAACCCUCUUGGAAAAAUAGUCUAGUACCUAAUUUACAUAGUUCCUGACAGCCUAACCAGGAGUAUAUCUCUCACUGUAUCCAGUUCUUUUAUCUACUUUUCUUUUAUAUAACUAAAAAAGAAAAAAACACUUGAACUAUAAUUCCAAGUUUUAUUUAAAAAUUUUCCUACUCUAUCAUUGUUUCAUGAAUGUUAUCAAUA